rnacentral:rRNA from 1 species
CGCGGCCUAUCAGCUUGUUGGUGAGGUAACGGCCCACCAAGGCGACGACGGGUAGCCGGCCUGAGAGGGUGACCGGCCACACUGGGACUGAGACACGGCCCAGACUCCUACGGGAGGCAGCAGUGGGGAAUAUUGCACAAUGGGCGCAAGCCUGAUGCAGCAACGCCGCGUGAGGGACGACGGCCUUCGGGUUGUAAACCUCUUUUAGCAGGGAAGAAGCGAAAGUGACGGUACCUGCAGAAAAAGCACCGGCUAACUACGUGCCAGCAGCCGCGGUAAUACGUAGGGUGCAAGCGUUGUCCGGAAUUAUUGGGCGUAAAGAGCUCGUAGGCGGUUCAGUUAGUCGGGUGUGAAAACUCAGGGCUCAACUCUGAGACGCCACUCGAUACUGCCAUGACUAGAGUCCGGUAGGGGAGUGCGGAAUUCCUGGUGUAGCGGUGGAAUGCGCAGAUAUCAGGAGGAACACCGAUGGCGAAGGCAGUUCUCUGGGCCGUUACUGACGCUGAGGAGCGAAAGCGUGGGGAGCGAACAGGAUUAGAUACCCUGGUAGUCCACGCCGUAAACGGUGGAUGCUAGCUGUGGGCCACAUUCCACGUGGUCCGUGACGAAGUUAACACAUUAAGCACCCCGCCUGGGGAGUACGG